CAGACUCCUACGGGAGGCAGCAGUGGGGAAUAUUGCACAAUGGGCGAAAGCCUGAUGCAGCGACGCCGCGUGAGGGAUGACGGCCUUCGGGUUGUAAACCUCUUUCAGCAGGGACGAAGCGAGAGUGACGGUACCUGCAGAAGAAGCACCGGCCAACUACGUGCCAGCAGCCGCGGUAAUACGUANGGUGCGAGCGUUGUCCGGAAUUACUGGGCGUAAAGAGCUCGUAGGCGGUUUGUCGCGUCGUCCGUGAAAACUUGGGGCUCAACCCCAAGCUUGCGGGCGAUACGGGCAGACUUGAGUACUGCAGGGGAGACUGGAAUUCCUGGUGUAGCGGUGAAAUGCGCAGAUAUCAGGAGGAACACCGGUGGCGAAGGCGGGUCUCUGGGCAGUAACUGACGCUGAGGAGCGAAAGCGUGGGUAGCGAACAGGAUUAGAUACCCUGGUAGUCCACGCCGUAAACGGUGGGCGCUAGGUGUGGGUUUCCUUCCACGGGAUCCGUGCCGKAGCUAACGCAUUAAGCGCCCCGCCUGGGGAGUACGGCCGCAAGGCUAAAACUCAAAGGAAUUGACGGGGGCCCGCACAANCGGCGGAGCAUGUGGNUUAUUUCNAUGCAACGCGAAGAACCUUACCUGGGNUUGACAUAUACCGGAAAGCCGUANAGAUACNNCCCCCCUUGUGNUCNGNAUACAGNUGGUGCAUGGNUGUCGUCAGCUC
rnacentral:rRNA from 1 species